rnacentral:rRNA from 1 species
AACGAACGCUGGCGGCAGGCUUGACACAUGCAAGUCGAGCGCCCCGCAAGGGGAGCGGCAGACGGGUGAGUAACGCGUGGGAAUCUACCCAUCUCUACGGAAUAACGCAUGGAAACGUGUGCUAAUACCGUAUACGUCCUUCGGGAGAAAGAUUUACCGGAGAUGGAUGAGCCCGCGUUGGAUUAGCUAGUUGGUGGGGUAAAGGCCUACCAAGGCGACGAUCCAUAGCUGGUCUGAGAGGAUGAUCAGCCACGCUGGGACUGAGACACGGCCCAGACUCCUACGGGAGGCAGCAGUGGGGAAUAUUGGACAAUGGGCGCAAGCCUGAUCCAGCCAUGCCGCGUGAGUGAUGAAGGCCCUAGGGUUGUAAAGCUCUUUCACCGGUGAAGAUAAUGACGGUAACCGGAGAAGAAGCCCCGGCUAACUUCGUGCCAGCCGCCGCAGUAACAC